GAUGAACGCUGGCGGUAUGCUUAACACAUGCAAGUCGAACGGACUCUUCGGAGUUAGUGGCGGACGGGUGAGUAACGCGUGAGAAUCUGGCUUUGGGUUCGGGACAACCACUGGAAACGGUGGCUAAUACCGGAUGUGCCGAUAGGUAAAAGAGACAUUGCCUGAAUAUGAGCGCGCGUCUGAUUAGCUAGUUGGUGGGGUAAAGGCUCACCAAGGCAGCUGUCAGUAGGGGGUCUGAGGGGAAGACCAGCCACAGUGGGACGGAGACACGGCCCAGACUCCUACGGGAGGCAGCUGGGGGAAAUUGUCCGCAAGGGGCGAAAGCCUGACGGAGAAAUACCGCGUGAGGGAGGAAGGCUCUUGGGUUGUAACCCUCUUUUCUUAGGGAAGAACAAAAUGACGGUACCUAAGGAAUCAGCAUCGGCUAACUCCGUG
rnacentral:rRNA from 1 species